UACGUAGGUGGCAAGCGUUGUCCGGAUUUAUUGGGUUUAAAGGGUGCGUAGGCGGUUCAAUAAGUCAGUGGUGAAAUACGGCAGCUCAACUGUCGAGGUGCCAUUGAUACUGUUGGACUUGAGUACAGACGAGGUAGGCGGAAUUGACGGUGUAGCGGUGAAAUGCUUAGAUAUCGUCAAGAACACCGAUAGCGAAGGCAGCUUACUAGGCUGUAACUGACGCUGAGGCACGAAAGUGUGGGGAUCAAACAGG
rnacentral:rRNA from 1 species